rnacentral:rRNA from 1 species
GACGAACGCUGGCGGCGCGCCUAACACAUGCAAGUCGAACGGAGUUGAGAGAAGCUUGCUUUUCUUAGCUUAGUGGCGAACGGGUGAGUAACGCGUGAGUAACCUGCCCUGGAGUGGGGGACAACAGUUGGAAACGACUGCUAAUACCGCAUAAGCCCACGAUCCGGCAUCGGAUUGAGGGAAAAGGAUUUAUUCGCUUCAGGAUGGACUCGCGUCCAAUUAGCUAGUUGGUGAGGUAACGGCCCACCAAGGCGACGAUUGGUAGCCGGACUGAGAGGUUGAACGGCCACAUUGGGACUGAGACACGGCCCAGACUCCUACGGGAGGCAGCAGUGGGGGAUAUUGCACAAUGGGGGAAACCCUGAUGCAGCGACGCCGCGUGGAGGAAGAAGGUUUUCGGAUUGUAAACUCCUGUCGUUAGGGACGAUAAUGACGGUACCUAACAAGAAAGCACCGGCUAACUACGUG